rnacentral:rRNA from 1 species
CAGAAGAAGCACCGGCUAACUCCGUGCCAGCAGCCGCGGUAAUACGGAGGGUCCAAGCGUUAAUCGGAAUUACUGGGCGUAAAGCGCGCGCAGGCGGUUUGUUAAGUGAGAUGUGAAAUCCCCGGGCUCAACCUGGGAAUUGCAUUUUAAACUGGCAACCUAGAGUCUUGUAGAGGGGGGUAGAAUUUCAGGUGUAGCGGUGAAAUGCGUAGAGAUCUGAAGGAAUACCGGUGGCGAAGGCGGCCCCCUGGACAAAGACUGACGCUCAUGCGCGAAAGCGUGGGGAGCAAACAGGAUUAGAUACCCUGGUAGUCCACGCCGUAAACGAUGUCUACU